rnacentral:rRNA from 1 species
CAUUCCUACGGGGCGCAGCAGUGGGGAAUAUUGCACAAUGGGGGAAACCCUGAUGCAGCGACGCCGCGUGAGCGAUGAAGUGUUUCGGUAUGUAAAGCUCUAUCAGCAGGGAAGAAAAUGACGGUACCUGACUAAGAAGCCCCGGCUAACUACGUGCCAGCAGCCGCGGUAAUACGUAGGGGGCAAGCGUUAUCCGGAUUUACUGGGUGUAAAGGGGGCGCAGACGGCGAUGCAAGCCAGGAGUGAAAGCCCGGGACCCAACCCCGGGACUGCUCUUGGAACUGCGUGGCUAGAGUGCAGGAGGG